ensembl:lncRNA
GUCGCCUUAGCCAAGGUCUGGCGCGCUGUGACAGCGGCGGGGUUUCCCACAGAGACUACAGACUCGCAGUGUCGGGGGACAAAAGUCCGGGCCAGCCCUGCCAGGGAACCUCGAGGCAUGGUGCUCUGGCCGACCCCUAGCCGGGUCGCUGGUCUGGUCCCCAGGGACAGCAAGCUGAGCGGCCUGUGAGCAGCAGCAGCGUCAAGGCUGGAUGUUGAAUUGCCUAUACUUCAAUCUGAACGUGGGAUGAGAAUGAUGGCUGUGCAUUAAAUGAACAACUCAAUAUGUGACGCCAUGGAGAAGUACAAGGAGCUCAUACAAGAGAACAAUUCCUACACAUCAGGCACUUCCAGCUCCUGCGUGAACGGACUCCAUAGAAGAACAAUAUAAAGAUUUUGCUGAAUGAGAACAAAAAACUGAUGGUGGAGCAGACUGUUCUGCCAGCAUCCUGUGUGGAGGCAAAGAGGUUCUGUGAAGAGGCCGGAAUGAACAUCUGUGUCCCCAGAGCCAAGCAGUUGCAGGUCCAGCAAGUAUCUGCAUAGCAAGAUUUCCUGAAGUGGAAAUGAGUACAGGCCAGGGCAGCACAGCCUGCUUGACUGUAAGAGACUUGUACAUAACAUAGCUCCCACUAAUUCUUCAUUCAACAGAAAACCUGCUGGAUAAAAGCUCUGUACAGCAAAAGGACACAAAAGCACUUGUAAAGUUCAAUUUUAACGGUAUUAGGGGCAAACCUACCAAUCUGCAUUGAAAUCCUUUGGAGCACAUUAAAGGAAUGGAGUACAUGGAGGUAAGGGGGAGGCUUCUCUAUAAAAUCCAUGAGUUUAUAUUCCUUCUUUGUCCUUUGUGAAUUGUGAAAGCCCACUGAAAGGUUAUGUCACUCACUGUGUCUUCUCCAAGCUUGUUUUCCACAUUGCCUGCUCCCAUUUCUUUCCAGCUACCUUAGCACAGUACAACUUCACCUUGGAGUCUGGCUUGGAUUGUAUUCACUGAGAAAUUGAGUUGCA